ACUACAAUAAAAGGUCCCGCCUGCCCUGUGACUAGAUGCUUUAACGGCCGCGGUAUUUUGACCGUGCGGAAGGUACCGCAAUCUCUUGUCUUUUAAAUGGAGACCUGUAUGAAUGGCACAACGAGGGCUUAACUGUCUCCUUUCUUCCAGUCAAUGAAAUUGAUCUCCCGCGAUGACAGCAAGCCGGGGGCAUAUCUUACAUAAGACAAGAAGACCCUAAGGAGCUUUAGACACAAUAGCUCACCACGUUAAUCACCCCUAAACAAAGGACUAAACAAUAUUGAAACCCGCCCUAAUGUCUUGGGUUGGGGCGACCACAGAGAAAUAAAAAACCCCCGCGUGGAACAGGGGAUACUAUCUCCCACAAUCACUACCUCCCGCUCUACUAAACAGAACCUCUGACCAAUCAAAUCCGGCAAUGCCGAUUAGACGGCACCAAGUUACCCUAGGGAUAACAGCGCACUCCCCGUUUUAGAGCCCAUAUCGACUAGGGGGUUUACGACCUCGAUGUUGGAUCAGGACAUCCUAAUGGUGCAGCCGCUAUUAAGGGUUCGUUUGUUCAACGAUGAAAGUCCUACUUGAUCUGAUUUCACAACCGGAGAUCUGAGUUCAGACCGG
rnacentral:rRNA from 1 species